rnacentral:rRNA from 1 species
GAUGAACGCUGGCGGCGUGCCUAAUACAUGCAAGUCGAGCGAACAGAUGAGGAGCUUGCUCCUCUGACGUUAGCGGCGGACGGGUGAGUAACACGUGGAUAACCUACCUAUAAGACUGGGAUAACUUCGGGAAACCGGAGCUAAUACCGGAUAAUAUAUUGAACCGCAUGGUUCAAUAGUGAAAGACGGUUUUGCUGUCACUUAUAGAUGGAUCCGCGCCGCAUUAGCUAGUUGGUAAGGUAACGGCUUACCAAGGCAACGAUGCGUAGCCGACCUAAGUGGGUGAUCGGCCACACUGGAACUGAGACACGGUCCAGACUCCGACGGGAGGCAGCAGUAGGGAAUCUUCCGCAAUGGGCGAAAGCCUGACGGAGCAACGCCGCGUGAGUGAUGAAGGUCUGCGGAUCGUAAAACUCUGUUAUUAGGGAAGAACAAAUGUGUAAGUAACGAUGCACGUCUUGACGGUACCGAAUCAGAAAGCCACGGCUAACUACGU